rnacentral:rRNA from 1 species
UACGAAGGGUGCAAACGUUGCUCGGAAUUAUUGGGCGUAAAGCGCACGUAGGCGGCAUUGCAAGUCGGAUGUGAAAUCCCUCGGCUUAACCAAGGAAGUGCAUCCGAAACUGCAGUGCUUGAGUACUUAAGAGGAUCGCGGAAUUCCCGGUGUAGCGGUGAAAUGCGCAGAUAUCGGGAAGAACACCCGUGGCGAAGGCGGCUCUCUGGGACGGUACUGACGCUGAGACGCGAAAGCGUGGGGAGCGAACAGG